rnacentral:misc_RNA from 1 species
UCCAGUCAUAAUUCAUUCAAUGAUGCUUAACAAACUAAACAAUUUUUUAUGAAAACUCAAAAUGGGCAAAACCUAGGUACAAUAACACCGUACAUUUAUGUUCAUAAUAUUAUAGAAACUUUCAACAGCCAACAUAUAGUAUCUAUCCACAAGAUAGUCAUGUUAUAUUCAAAAAGAGAAAUUGGAGACUUUUAAGAAUUGGCCCUUGCAGGGAACCCCCUUUUUGUGCUUCUUAAAUCUUUUGCAUCAAGGGCUUCUAGAAAGUUAACUGUAGCUGCAAUCUAUACAAUUGAAGGGCUUCACUUUGUUAAUUUUAUAAUAUUCAUAUCCUUCUCAUCCUUGCAUAUAUGCACAUGUGAGCACAUGCACUCGUGUCAAAUAACAAUAAAUAAAAAUCCGUUAGUAUUAUGCCAUCAUCAGGACCCAUACUAAGCCCUUGCUAGAAAUUCUCAUGUUAAGGACCUAUGUAGUAAUUUCUACAAUAACAUUUUUCACUUUCUUCCUUGACAAGUAACACUGCUGUACUUCAUUCCAAAACCUAAAAAGAUUUCCAUGUACGAGAUGUGAAAUGAAUGCGCAAAAAGAUUACUUCAAUGAAACAAGAAAAACAACCAAGUUGGUUGCGUCCAAGGCUAGAGGCAGGCAACGAGAAAAGGAAUGCCAAAGGCCAAACUGACUUAAGGUAACAUUGGUGAAUGGGCAGCUCAAUUACUAAACAAUCUAAUCUAGUCUACUUCAAUAUGCAUGCAAGCACUUGUGAGCUUAGUCUUGAGAAAAACAUGUUUAGAACUAAAGAAAAAAGAGGAAUAGAAAACUGAUGCAAGUCUCUAUCAAAAAUAUUCAGAGAAAGCCAACUAUUCUCAAGAGAAAACCACCCAGCAGUUGACUCGAGGAAUUACAUGGGAAACAGAAUAAUAUAUAAAAGACUACAAAUUACAUAUUUAGCACAAAUGAGCCACUCCAGUGUAACACACAGCAUCCCCGAUAGGUAGUUACAUGCUCCACACAUUUAUCUUCCCAUAACAUUACAUGCAUAUCAAUAAAUAGUAUAUCAUACAUACCCGUAAACACUCUUGGUACUACUACUCAUUUCAAUACCUAUUCCACCGGCUUAAAACAUCUAAGUUUACCAUAUUAAAUAGCUUCUCAUCAUUUCUUCUUAUUUUAUUUGCGGACAACAAGAGCUCAAAUUAAAACCCAGAAGGAAAUCUUGAACUGCAACCAUUCUACUUCACACAGCAGAGUGAAGCGUCACCUUGUCAUAACAAUUAGAUUCCUCAUCUUCUCUUUCAUCAAGAUUUCUCUUCAUCUCAUGAGUUGCCUCAUUAUAACUAUUUCUCAAAUUCUCAUGAACUUCUCUCAAGUCUUCAAGAUCAUAUUUCAUUUCCUAAAAAUCUCGAAUCCUUCAUCAUUCAAAUCUUUGAUGACAACAUCAUCAAAACCUUUUAAGUGCCCAAGUAAUCACAAAGCAACUUUAUUUUCUGCAUCCUUCCUAUAGGCUUUAAAUAUUAUAUUACGUUUUCUGUCCAAAUCAUGUAUAUUAUAAAAUUGGGAAAAGAAUUAUUUGCGUUAAAUUUUUCACGAGUAAAUUGUCAGCAACAAAUUUGGUUUUUAACUAACUCCUUGAGAAUCAUGAAUAGAAUCGUCACAACAAUUGGCGCUACACCUAUGGUCUUCAAAACACUUGGUUGUUAUUGACGCCUUUGUGUCUCUUGAUAGGAAGUUUUCUACACAAUCUCAAUUUAUCAAAGCACUUGGCCUUUUUUGCCAUCUUCAAAAGACCUCUCAUCCAUUCAUCAAUCUCUAUAUAGUCUCACACCUUAGGACUUACACCUUUCCAAUGGGUUUUCUACUCUUCCAUGGAUGUAAAGAAUUCUCACACGUAGGAUAUAAAGCUGUUUUGAAGGAAACUCUCUUUUGGUGGGGAAUUUAAGGAUAUUAAACUCAAAAGUAGAGAAAGUAACAUUAAUAAAAUAUAUAAAUAAAUAAAUAAAUAAAAACUGAAAUAGUAUUCAGGAGUUGGAACCCCUGUUCAGUGAACCAAACGUGUGUCUGGUACUUCUUUUUUUUCUUUUUUCUUUUUAAAUUUU